GGCUACCACAUCUAAGGAAGGCAGCAGGCGCGCAAAUUACCCAAUUCUAACAGCAUAAGAGAGGUAGUGACAAGAAAUAACAAUACAGGGCAGUUAAAAUGCUUUGUAAUUGGAAUGAUAGAAAUUUAAACACUUUUUAAAGUAUCAAUUGGAGGGCAAGUCUGGUGCCAGCAGCCGCGGUAAUUCCAGCUCCAAUAGCGUAUAUUAAAAUUGUUGCAGUUAAAAAGCUCGUAGUUGAAUUUCUGCUAAAAAAAACCGGUCUGCUUUUUUAAUAAAAGUAGUAUCUUGGUGCGUUUUUAGCAAUAAUAUCCUUUGAAAUGCUUUUUACUUUAUUGUAAAAAGCAAUAUUCAGGAUUUUUACUUUGAGAAAAUUAGAGUGUUUC
rnacentral:rRNA from 1 species